rnacentral:rRNA from 1 species
GACGAACGCUGGCGGCGUGCUUAACACAUGCAAGUCGAACGAUGAAGCCCAGCUUGCUGGGUGGAUUAGUGGCGAACGGGUGAGUAACACGUGAGUAACCUGCCCUGGACUCUGGGAUAACCCCGAGAAAUCGGAGCUAAUACCGGAUAGGACCUUUCCUCGCAUGAGGUUUGGUGGAAAGUUUUUCGGUUUGGGAUGGACUCGCGGCCUAUCAGCUUGUUGGUGAGGUAAUGGCUCACCAAGGCGUCGACGGGUAGCCGGCCUGAGAGGGUGACCGGCCACACUGGGACUGAGACACGGCCCAGACUCCUACGGGAGGCAGCAGUGGGGAAUAUUGCACAAUGGGCGCAAGCCUGAUGCAGCAACGCCGCGUGCGGGAUGACGGCCUUCGGGUUGUAAACCGCUUUUAGUAGGGAAGAAGGGCUUCGGCUUGACGGUACCUGCAGAAAAGGGACCGGCUAACUACGUGCCAGCAGCCGCGGUAAGAC